UACGGAGGGGGCUAGCGUUGUUCGGAAUUACUGGGCGUAAAGCGCGCGUAGGCGGACCUGCAAGUCGGGGGUGAAAGCCCGAGGCUCAACCUCGGAACUGCCUUCGAUACUGCGGGUCUCGAGUCCGGGAGAGGUGAGUGGAAUUCCUAGUGUAGAGGUGAAAUUCGUAGAUAUUAGGAAGAACACCAGUGGCGAAGGCGGCUUUCUGGUCUGUAACUGACGCUGAGGCGCGAAAGCGUGGGGAGCAAACAGG
rnacentral:rRNA from 1 species